rnacentral:rRNA from 1 species
GAGACCUCAAGUCAGGCGGGGCUACCCGCUGAAUU